UACGUAGGCAGCAAGCGUUGUUCGGAGUUACUGGGCGUAAAGGGUGCGUAGGCGGUUUGGUAAGUCUUAUGUGAAAUCUACAGGCUCAACUUGUAGUCUGCAUGAGAAACUGCCGGGCUUGAGUGUGGGAGAGGUGAGUGGAAUUCCCGGUGUAGCGGUGAAAUGCGUAGAUAUCAGGAGGAACACCUGUGGCGAAGGCGGCAUCCUGGCCCUGUCCUGACGCUCAGGGGCGAAAGCGUGGGGAGCAAACCGG
rnacentral:rRNA from 1 species